GACGGUGAAGUUUAACUUCGCUUCCAGACGCGGUCUCCUCUCCAGGCAGCCAGACAACCAACCAGACAGUCGGCGCUUUUCUUUUUUUUCACCUCCCUUUGAAAAAAAAAAAAAAAAACAAAAAAAAAACGUGAAGUCUCCAUAUGGCUACGGGAUGCUGACACCUGCCCGGUGCGCAGGUAACUCCAGGUUCUCCUGCCAGACAGCAGAUCAAUAGUGUGACAUGGAGACGGGCCCGCAACCACCAGCGGAGCCUGAGCUGAGCUGCUGAGCUGCUGAGCUGCUGAGCUGCUUUAGAGCCCUGCUGAGACCUGCCAGGCCCACAGCUUUCCCUGCCAGGGGCCUCGGCUCGCAGUCAGAGCACCAACCGUGGCUAGAACAUGUAACCUCCCCCCCUGCCAUCUCAAUCUCCAGGCAGAACAGGAUCGCGAUGGCCCCGGUGAGACCAGAUCAAGCCAAUCCAAUUGCCGAGCGGGGAUCAAGUCACCAUGCUGGUGCUGCACCCAGAAACCACCAGGAGCCAAACCUCCCGAGGUCUUCCCACCACAUCACACAGCCUGCUGCCUGGGCACAUGAGUGUGUGAGAGGCAGAGAAAAGAAAGCAGGAUUAAAAGAUAAAAACCAUAUGAGCAAACCAAAUCUAUUUUGAAGUACUAUGACUUCCUUCCUCAAGGAAGGCCUUUUUUUGUCCCCUAUGAUCACUCACUGGCCUUUUCACAAGCCUACGCUCUGGUCAAAGGCGAUUUAUUCAUUUUAUUCCCUUAUUUUCAUAACGUUGAGGAAUAUUCAGUCAAGUAGCUGCUACUCACUAGAUGCAGCCAAAAAAAAAAAACUGUCAGCUGAGUUCUUUUAAAUUUCUGUUUUAUAUUUUUUGUGCCCUUGGCAAUAUUUGAUCCUAAAAUAAGGUAUUGAUAUGUAGGUAUGUUUCAUCUCUGUUUUCUUGAGUGUGUAUGUGUUUGUGUUAUCCUUAACGAAACUGUAUGUACAACCAAAUGAAAAUGAUGGACUCAGCACGAAAUUUGAGGUUUCAUCAAAUGUCCAUGUUAACUUUUCGUGUUGGAAAGGAAACUUUCUGUAAGUAUACUAAUCUUUAAAAAUACUUUAUUACAAGUCAAAAUUACACUAAAUAACAGAACCUCCAGAAUAUAUAUUCAGCUUCAAGUCAGAGUGUUAAUUAUGCAAAAUGGCACAUAAUAUAUUGUUGUAUUAAAGGUUCUCUGUGCAACAUUCAGGACCACUUGAUGUUGCUACAGCAAAAAGCAUCGUCGAUUACUACACCUUCCCCCUCCCUUCACAUUUCAUUUACAACUAGGAAGGUUGCAUACACAUAAAAAAAGUAAAUUACAUUAAAUCGUGACAACUUGUUCAACUUAUUUAACAUUAUCUUCACGACGGUGAGUGCAGAAGCAGAGAUCUGCAGAAAGCAGUGGAGACUCUCACAUUGAGCUAAAAUAAAACAUGCCACCAUAAAUCAGGUUAAACAUGAAUACAAGACUCUGUUUUAAAUUUUCAAAAUUUCCGUGGCACAGGCUAAAUGCUUGGACUGCACUGUCGCUUUUGCACUGCAGUGAGAGGUUACGCUCACCUUAUAAAUGCAGGGAGGACCAACAGUUUCAAAGGGAGGAACUCACAUGCACUAACAUGCAUGCCAGGCCGGAUCGGCUAGCAGAACAAAGAAACUCAGGCUACAUACAAAGAGUGUAACUUCAUUCUCUGCUAAGCAUGCCAUUACCUCAUUAUAUCUUUACAGAGCAGAUAGUUAUUUGCUGCGAUAUUAAGGUUACAUUUAUGGCUCAAAACUUGCAUACAGCACCUUUAAAGAACAUAUAUACAAUUUUUCAAGUCUGACUUGCAAAAAUUCUCAGUGAACCUUACAACAAGCUUUCCCUGCAGUAAUCAUUCCUCCUGUUCAUACUGAUCAAAACAAGACCAUUUUUUAAAAAUUCCCUGUGUGCAAUCUGUGCGAGUGAGGAGGCACAAAAUCUACAGCCAUAUCCACUUACCUUGUCAGUUUCUGCUACUGGUAAAUGUACGUGAUGAGGGAGUCAGGCAACAUUCAGUCAUAUCAUCUCGACAGCAUAACUAAACAUAUUGGUAUUUUAUGGGCAGAAGAACAUGAUAGUGUUAAAAAGAUUCCGUGAGCUACUUCUGAUUGACAACCAAAGCUUCCCCACAGCAGUACUUACUUAAAAAUAGGUGAUAUCAUUUACUCUUUGAUGUGUUGCUUUGAGGACAUCUCCAAGGAUCUCCUGUGUCCUUACACUUGUUUAUCAUGACAACAGUAUAAAACAUGUUUUCUCUAGGCGUUGUGCCAGUAUUCACACUAACAGUCGACAUAGGAGGAAUUUCGCUGCAGGUCACACGUUAAUGUGUUGUGCCAUGUUUAGACUGUGGCAAUAAGUUCAUAAAAAGCCAGUUCCCUGUCAGUUUUAUGGCCUUUUCAUCUCGCAGAUAAUCUGUCUGACAAUCAGCACAGCACUGCGUCAGCUUUGGAAAAUGGUCUGGCAGCACCCAUUGUCAUUCUGCUGUGUCUUGUUUGUAUUUCUUUAAACCAUCACAAUUGUCUUGAGUAGUGCUAAAACCAAGACACAGUGUCUCUCUGUCAGGGUGGAGCUUGUUUUGGUGGAACAUGUUUGGAAAAUUAACAUUUUCUGAAUCCAUUGACUAAACAUGUAAGAACAUCCCUGUGAGACAGAAAUAUUGUGUAUCUUGGUAGAUCUUUACAAUCAUCCACCCGAAGAACUAAACAGUCCUGCCUGACUGUAUCCUCCAAAUUUUAGUCAAAACUUGCCAUUUUCAGCAUUUAGAUUGCUAGCUAGGGAAAGGGAAGAGAAUGUAGUGUGAAUUAUGUGCUCACUGGUAGACUUAUACCCACAGUCUACAUCUGCUGAAUCAGACUACCUGUAUCUUGACCUUCUCCGUGGUUCAAUAAUUUCUGAACAAACGUUCAGAGGCUGGCUUCAUUUUCAAGCCUGCCAGAUGAAAGCUGGUGAAAGAUGUUUCAUUAACUUGACUUUUGAAUAUAAUGGUAAAGUUAUCUUUUACUGCUCAAUUUUAAACUAAAAGUGUGUGACAACCCCGAACAACGUGAAAUGAGGCACGGAGUCGAGGUAAGAGCCCUCUCAAAGAAAUACCUUGUGUUUUAUCUAACAGCUGAGCUGAUUUGUGUAGAGGUGCUUCUUUCUGUGCGUGAUUGUUCUCUGUGGGCAUGGGGGUCAAGUUAACAGUCAGAAAAGCAAGGAGAUUAUUCAGCACAUUUACUUUGAUAUUACGAGUAAGAAGGCUGGAGGGCAGGAGUUAUCCCUGGGGGAAACUGUCUACCUGUGAGAUAUUAGGCAAUUAUUCAAACACACAGACCAUCCAUUACCGACAUCCACUCCAGCAGCGUAACCAUCUCUGCAUGUUCCCUGGCUACAUGCUGCCUCGAAAACAUAUAGACCUCAACAAAAAACAAAAAGCUUAUACACGGACCAAAUGCUUCACAUACACAUACUCAGUAUGAAAGCUUAACUAUGCUGCAGAUCCCAUUCUCAUUACAUGCGUUACUGAUAUAGUUGUGACUCAGAGUUAUUUCAGAUAUUUCACCCCGCUCAGUGAACUGUAGCAGCACAACCAAACACAUGUUUACACUGGCCAAGACCCAGUGUACGCACGACUGCACAAUCAUGAUCUAAGGUUAGAAAGUUGUGGUCAUGAGUAGCAUGCCUGUACAAUUUACCUCAUGAUGUUUUUUGCCAGGAGAGACUUCUACUGUUUCAAGGUCUUCCUUAGAAAUGUUACAUUUAAUCGCAGAAGAUCCCAGUCAGUAAAAUCUGGGGUUAAUACUGUAAUAGGGAUAGAAAUGUAUGUGCCAAGAGUGUGUAUUUUUAUGUAACACAAUCCAGAUGUUGCUUCACAUUUUUCUAUCAAUUUAGAGGGUGCUACUUAGUGCACUAGUGCUUUGAGCAAAAACUUUAGCAUGCUAACGUAUUCUCAAUGACAAUCUCAUUAAAGAAUCUAAAGCGGGUUUAAUGUGUCUGUUUUAUGUGAGAAUGACAACAUUCACUAAUAAGAAGUAAAGGAAGUACAGCAGAGGAAAAUGAAAAUGUUGGUAGUUUUUAGGUAUAGGCUUGUUAUUGGUUUGGCUGAUUAGCAGAUCUGAUAUGUAGAACUUUCUAUUUUUAAUUGUGAAUCUCAUAUUGUAAAUUAUUUAGUUUAUGUAAGACGUGAAAUCGGUG
ensembl:lncRNA